rnacentral:rRNA from 1 species
CAGUCGCCGCGGGAAUACGUAGGUGGCAAGCGUUAAUCGGAAUUACUGGGCGUAAAGCGUGCGCAGGCGGUUCGUUAAGACAGAUGUGAAAUCCCCGGGCUUAGCCUGGGAACUGCAUUUGUGACUGGCGGGCUAGAGUAUGGCAGAGGGGGGUAGAAUUCCACGUGUAGCAGUGAAAUGCGUAGAGAUGUGGAGGAACACCGAUGGCGAAGGCAGCCCCCUGGGCCAAUACUGACGCUCACGCACGAAAGCGUGGGGAGCAAACAGGAUUAGAUACCCGCGUAGUCCCUGUCUCUUAUAU